GUGCUUGCUUCAGCAGCAUAUAUACUAAAAUCGGAUGAUAUACAGACUAUUAGAAGGUCCCUGCUCAAGGAUGACACACAAAUCCAUCAAGUGCUGCAUAUUUUU
ensembl:snRNA LOC120097193 U6 spliceosomal RNA